GAAAGAAGAGAUUGGAUCAAAGAUAAGCUUGAGGAUCUCUUUUACCCUGAAGACGUUAAAUGCAUCUUAAAAUCAAAACGAUGAUAUCUAAAGAUGACUUUUAGGUUUGGGGUCAAAAUAGAAGCGGUGAAUAUUCGGUCAAAUCAGGUUACUGGUUGCAAAAUCAGAUUACUAACAGUCAGUUGUUGAUAGAAGCAUCAGCGUUACCAUUUAUCAAUGAGCUUAAAGUUCAGGUCUGGUCCUUAAAUACUUCCCCGAAGAUAAAAAAUUUUCUUUGGAAAGUCCUUUCAGAAGCUAUUCCAGUGGCUGAUAUGAUUCUAUCGAGAGGAAUGAAGGUUGAUUCUAGAUGUCAAGUAUGUGGACUGGAAGGUGAAUCUAUAAAUUAUCUCCUUUUCUCAUGUACUGUGGCUCGGCAAGUCUGGGUGUUAUCUCUCUUUCCAAAGCCAUACUCAGAUUUCUCCAGAGACUAUAUUUACUCAAAUUUCCAUCACCUUCUCAAAGUAAGUAAAUCAUCCUCUAUGCCAUUUGAAAUAGCUAGGAUGUUUCCUUGGAUGCUUUGGCAUAUCUGGAAAAGCAGGAACGCGUUCACUUUUGAAGGCAAAGGCUUCUGUCCUAUAGAUACUCUUACAAGGAUAAGACAAGAGGUGGAUACUUGGUUUGUAGCUCAAAAAGUUGAAGCAUAACAGAGUCUCUACCAAGUAUUACCAAAAGCUCUUUCUAGUAGAAGUUGGAUUCCUCCUUCAAUCUCUUGGAUCAAAUGUAAUCUUGCUUACUCUUGGGACAAAAAAACUAAAUUGGUUGGAGUUGCUUGGUUACUAAGGAAUCAUUGUGGAAAAGUCCUUUUGCAUAGCCGACAUGCUAUUUCUGAUAUUGAUAGUCUAACCGAAGCAAAACUUCAAUGUCUUCUUUUGGCUAUUAACAUCAUGUCAAAAUUAAAAAUCUCUCAGGUAGUCUUUAGUACUGAAGCUUAUGAAUUGAUUGGGGCUGUCAUUCGUACAAAAGCUUGGCCCUCCUUUGCUUUCCAAGCUUCAGAAAUCAACCUGGCCUUGUCAAAAAUUCGAAAAUGGAAACUACAUGUUAAAACAGCUGCGACAAAUCUUAGUGCCUAUCUCAUUGCUCAAAGUGCUUCUUUUGGUCCCUUUUUGUGGCUUCUGGGGUUCCUUUUUGGCUUAGGAAUACUUUGGAUAAUGAUAUGACUUUCGUUUGAUUGUUGUAUAGAGCUUGUUUAGCUCUUUUUGAUUCCUCACUUGUUUGAGGCUUUUGGUUUUUUUAACCCUCUUCUCUUAUACUUGCUACCAUGUCUAUAAAACUUCAGAUGUCAAAAAAUAGUAUAAUCGUUUUUUGACACAGUACGGAAAAUAAAUAAUUUAAAAUAAAUUUUGGGAUAAAUAUGGAGUUUUUCAAAAUCAACUCAUUUUUUUUAAGUCAAAUCCAAAACCAACCUCUUUUUUUGUCAUUACUACUCAUCAAUGAAUUUUCUAUAUCAUACUUAUGUUUUUGAAUUAUUUACAAGAUUACCAUUAUUAUUUAAUUUUUUAUUAAUUUUGAAAUUCACAAAAAAACCAAAUACACCCACACCAUUUCUUUUUAUUACAGAAAUGCCAUUAUCAUCUAUUUUUUCAACCAUCAUGAACCACCAUUUUUGAGCUCGUAAAGCUCUAGAUUUCAAUUUUCAACCACUUUUUUUCUCAUUCUAAACCAACAAAUCUUCAUUUUCUCUUAUUUCCUCUACAUUUCCAUCUAAAAAACUCUCAUAGCUUUCAAUUUCAUAAACAAAAAUUUCAUUUUUUCGAGUUUCUUCAUUAGUGAAUCGUUAAAGGCGAUUCUUUUUGUUCAUAUUUGGAGUAAUUUGGAUGGUUGAGAAGGUUGGAAACGAGCUUUACACAAGAAAAAGAUAACUAUUUACAUGGUUUUCAUCAUUUUUCAGAUCUGUGUCGAGAUAGUAGACUGUUUUGUAUGUCUACGCCUAUAUACAGACGUACGAUGUAGUCUACUUGUCAAUGCACAUGUCAGUUUUGCAUUUGACCAAACGAAUUUUUUUUGGUACCGCAGACUUCCCCAACAGUCUUCGUCUUUAUUUUUGACAGCAAAAACAAAAAUUUAGGUAGACUUACUAAGACGGCUACGUAAAAGAGGUUAGUUUUGGAUUUGACCGAACUUUUGACUUUUUAUUAUAGACUCCAAUAGAAGUCUACGAAGUGUAGACUGCCUGAGAAGUUUGCAAAAUGUCAGUUUUGCAUUUGACCAAAACUUUGAAUCCGUUGAAUAGGUUACUUUUGUGUUUGACUAAUUUUUUUAAAAUUAGUUAAAAUUUUAUUAAAUUGUAGACUUCAUAUGUAGUCUUCUUAUCUUAGAAAAAAAAAAGGUAGUCUACAUGUGAAGUCUACUAUUUAAUUUUGGUCAAAUGCAAAACUAACCCGUCGAAUUUGAGAGUAGACUUCAAACGAAGACUAAAAAUAUGUAGAUGUGCAUUUCUAUAUACUCGUAGAAAGUCAAACUUGGUCAAUUGCAAAACUAACCUCUUUCAAAAAAAUUCAAAAAUGUAGACUGCAUAUGAAGUCUACUUCCGAAAGUCAAAUCAUGGGUGAAUUUUGGUCAAUUGAAAAAACUAACCAUUUUGAAGUGUAGACUGAAAUGGAAGUCUACAUGUAUAGAAUCACAACUUUUUUUUCAAAUAUAGAAAGUAACCCGUAAAUUUUUCAAUUGCAAUAACUAACCCAAAGAGUAGACCUAUUUGAUAGUCUACAUUAGUAAACUGAAAAGAACAUCUACAUCUUCGUAGAUGGAAUAUGGAGUCUAGAAAAAUAUAUUAAAAAUUAAUUUGUGUAUUAUUUAAUAAGUUUUUUCAAUGUUUUUUUUGUUUGACAGUGUGUAUUAGUUAAUCCUAAUGGGUUUGAGUGAUUUUGAAAAGAAAAUCUGUUAUAAUUUUGAAAGUAUAAUACUUUUGAUUUGACUAUGUUGUUAGCUAAUAAUUGUAGACGUAUUUGUUAGUCUACCUAUAUAGUUUUAUGAAACAUGAAAUAUUUCUCCGUUAAUUAUGUAAACUGUAUUGUUUCCGGAAAUAGCUCUGUUACCUGUUGUAUACGGAGAAUGAGUGGUGAAAGACUCUUUGUGGGAGUUUGUGGUCAAUAAUCGGAAAGGAAGAAAAAUGUUCCUUGUACAUGAUUGUUGUACACAUGGUGAACUUCUUGAAAUGGCACAAGAAGAUUACGAUCUGGACAAGAAAAUAACAUAAAAUACACAUUUAAAAUCUAUAGAUCUAAACUUAUAUUUUUUAAAGGUCAAGAUGAAAACCAUGAAUUAUAAUACCUAAAUGACAAGAUAAUAUUGUGAGAAAGACUUGGGAAAAAUUUAGAGAGAGAGAAGAGAAAUGAGAGAGUUUUUGAGAGAGUGGAGAGAGUUUUAGAGAGAAGUGAUAGAGUUUAAAAAAACUUGUGCUGCCACUUUAGAGAUAGACUUUAUAAAUUUUAUUUAUAUAGGGAGACAAAAAUGUAACUAGGUUAAAAUUUACGACACUCUAGACUUCAAAUCUUUUGAAGUCUACUAAAAUUAAAAAUUUGGAGUAGAUUUUACUAUAACAUAGUAAACAUUUUUGGAAGUCUACUAUAAUAAUUUUAUUACUGUUGUUUAUUCUUUAUUAUUUUAAUAAUUUUAAUAUAUGAUUUACUAAAUUUAUAUCUUUAUUUUUUAAUAGUUAUAGUAUAUGUUUUUUUACUCUUAAGGAACUCAACUAAUUAGUUUAAAUAUAAUGAUUUUUGUAAAAACAAUUGAAAAAUGUAGACUGAAAAUGAUGUCUCCAGCUAAAUAUACUUUAUUGUAGGUCUAGGAAACCCUAAACCAGAAAUCUCAAACCCUAAAUGUUUUUCUUUAUAAUAAAAAGUCUUAAUUACUUCAUCAAAUAUCAAAUUAUACAAAAUAUAUACUACUAAACAUUAAUAGACAAAUUUAAGUCAAUAAAACAAAAACAAAAAUCUAAAUCUAAAUCUAACCCUAAGAAGUCUACCACUAGAAUAGAUAACAUGUUAUAACCUUUUGUUUCUAAACCAUAUUGUCUAACACAUGGUUACCAAAUUAGAGUAUAUUCUUUAAAAUUGUUCAAUUAUAUAAAAUUUUAAUUUAUUUACUUCAUAUUGAUCAUUAUAUAUUUGAUGAUUAGUUAACAAUAUCACAAUAAUUAUUUUUAUACAUUUUUAAAAUUAAAUUAUUAGAUCAAAUUACGAUGUAGACUACAGAAUAAGUCUACACAAUAGACUUCUUAAGAGGUCUACAUAUAUGUACUUACUAAUGACAUAAUUGUAAAAUACAUUUCUAUUUUUUUUGUUUGGUAAUAAGAGUUAUAUAGUAUUUUUACCAUCAUUUUAGGUUGCUUUUACAUUUGACUGAAAGUGGGAUAUACUUUUAGGUUUGAUAUGAAUAUUUGGAUUGGUUCGAGCAAUUCUCCCGGAUAAAUAUGUGGAAACGAUGAAAAGGACUUGUGUAUUUAAUGUCUUGUAGUCAUUGUUAGACGUACAGAGCCGAAUCUACGCAUCAAAAGCUUUAUCUCUCUCUAUAUAUGUGAUGUCUAUAGACUCUUUAGAAAAAAAAUAUGUUAUGUCUAUGGACGAAUACGUAUGGAUAUAGCUCACCAAGACGAGAUAAUUGUACAUAUAAAAAUAAUAUUUAUAAAUUUUGAAAAUGACCCGUCGGUGUGUAAAACAAAAUAUAUAGGAGUUGAAUUUGAACAAGAAAAGAAACCUUUUGCUCUCUUAAAAACCUCUCUGAAACAGAAGAACACUAAUCUCUGAUCUCGCUGGGUGGCUGGCGCCUCCUCGGCUCCGGUCCGCCCCUCGCCCCUUGUUGCUUCUCCUCUCUCUUCGCCUCUCCUCUCCCUCCUUUCCCUUGCUUCCUUUCUCGGUGUUCUAGGAGUUUGCACCACCGCGGGUUUAGAUCUGGCACUGUCUCUCUUGAAACUCCGGAGAAGCAUGGUGGAGGAGUGGAUGUGAGGUUCCUUCGGUCGGGCGUGGUCGUGGAAGUCUUGAUCUGGUGUCAUAUCUGGAUUCCAGAAGUAGAUCUGUCUCUUUCCUCUGCCUCUUCUUCCUCGAUUCUAGGCUUGGAUGAGAUGGCUCUCUUGGUUGAAGGCGUUUCUCGGUUUCUCCAGGCGGUAGUGUUGCGGUGUUUCGCCGCUUGUUCUGGUGUACUCCGCGGGGUUCCUUGUUAGACCGGACAGUCUAUUUCUCAGGGGCUUCUAGGAGUUGAUUUCGGUUUGAAAUCGUGAAGGUCCGUUACGGGUUCUCCGUUGUGGUGCGUGUGCGAAGUGGAGAGUCGUUGGCCUUGUAAACCACGGUUUCUUCCUUCGGUGGCAGCACGUUCAGAGCCUGCUUGUUUCAGGGGAAAGGUCUAGGGCUUCCUCCUGUCCACUUUGACUUAAGGUGGUGCUUGCUGUCUCUGCUUUCUUGAUGGACCUAGGUCUAGGGCUUCCUCCUGUCCACUUUGACUUAAGGUGGUGCUUGCUGUCUCUGCUUUCUUGAUGUAGGUCCGGUAAUCUGUAGUAGGAAGUUCCUCAUGAUCAUCUAUCUCUUCCUCUUUUCGUUAGCUUUUCUCCAAUAUUCUGCUUCAAGAAAUGCAUAUUGGAAAUAUCAGUUGGGGAUAUGACUUUUUCAUUAAAAGGUUUGUCAUUUCUCACCUUCCAGAUGAAGAACUUCUGCUUUAAUAAAUCGGAAAGACUAUAUCUCUCUAUUUCCUACAUCAAAAUAAUAUAUAACUAAUAUGUUUGUAGAGAAAUUUAUUGAAUUUUCUAUACACAACGCAAAAUCUACUCAAGAUGUUAAAUUCAAGUUUUCGUUGGUAUUUAACGGAAUAAAAUGGUGGAAAAUAAAGGUAAAAAGGAAAGAAAUAAAAAAAUGAAAAUGAGAAUACAAAAUGAAAAGUUAUGGGAACAGUGAACCCCACUAACGAACGUAAUGUGUCUGAGACUUGCUAGCAUUGUCUUAAUAAAUUCCCUAAAGCACCACUGGCAAAAAGAUCCUCCUACACAUGUAUACAAUAUAUACAUAUACUUAAUAUAUGUAUAAAUAAGGACUAAAUAUAAAUAGUUAUAAUUUUUAAUGGACAAGAGUGGUGGAAAAUCAUAAAUGGAGAUGCCACCAGAAAAGGUUA